rnacentral:misc_RNA from 1 species
GCAAACUUGGUCAUUUAGAGGAAGUAAAAGUCGUAACAAGGUUUCCGUAGGUGAACCUGCGGAAGGAUCAUUAACGAGUUUUGAAAGGGGUUGUCGCUGGCUUCUAACGAGGCAAUGUGCACGCUCUGCUCAUCCACUCUCAACCUCUGUGCACUUAUUGUAGGUCGGUGGGAUUGGGCUCUUUUUUCGUUAUGAAGUGUGUGGUAACACACACUGAUUACUAGAGAGGAGUCUAUGAAAGCCUUCCUAUGUUUUACUACAAACGCUUCAGUUAUAGAAUGUCUACCUUGCGUGUAACGCAUUUAUAUACAACUUUCAACAACGGAUCUCUUGGCUCUCGCAUCGAUGAAGAACGCAGC